GUAAUUGUAAGCAUCCUGAUCACACUGACUGCAGAAUAACUUGCACAGCUUAUGCAGGGACAUAUUUUACCUGCACUCAUGGCACUUGACUGAGCCUUAUCAGGAUUCUUUUGUCUCUCUAGCCUUUGUACAGGCAGACAGAAAGAAAGAGCCUUAAUGAGCCUGUGAUGGGGCAGAUACAGCUACAAAGUGAAGGACGGGUCCUCCUGGAGUCCAGAACAGGCAGUGCUAAAAUGAAGCUGGGAGAAGCCUUGCCUUAGCCCCCUCUGUUCACCAUUAUAAAACAGUCUCUGAGGUGCAUUAAUUUGUGGGUGCCUUCCCAACCCCAGGCUAGGAGACAGGCUCCUGUUGGUGUGGUCUCGCAUCAAGUACUAUGAGUGCUGCCUGUUCUAGAUCCUUGGCAUGCUGUCUGGGACAGCCAGUGCUCCUAGGCCAGCAGUGCAGGAGUCAGCACAGGUCAAUGAUGAUCCCCAGGUUUGGAUGUUGUUGCCAUCCUGUUCUGGAGACUGAGAGGAUUUAACAGUAUUGACGUGCACUGACUGUGCUAUUUCAACUCAGGGCAGAGAACAGGCAUUGCUGCUAUUUUGUUUACCAGAACAUGUGCAGUCUAAACAUGUUGAUGUUGGUUACCAAAUAACACAGUGUGGGUGUUGGGACAACUGGUAGAAAAGGUGGGUUUUGAACAAUGAAUUCAGCAAGAGCUUCAAGAAACUGCCACCAGGCCUAGGUUAUUGUGCCUUGGUUAUAUAAAGGCUUACUUCCAUCGCUGCUUUCUGCUACUUUUGACACUAUGGAGAGCAAUAGAUGUUUCUAUUACUAAAACCACCAAGGAAGAUGUCCUAUUAAAAUCCACUGUGAAGCUCCAACCAUUUGAUGGAUCUCAGGGGUUACUCUUCAGUGAGUUUGGAUUCCAGUGUGAAAGGCGUGUGUGUGGAAAGGAAGGAAUGUUUAAUUCUGUGUUUUUUCUCCCCAUAAUAAGACAGAUGACUUUGACCAUUAUACUAACGCACAUGCAGUUUUCUACAAGGAGCCACAGGCUUACCAGGAGCUACUGGAAAACACAAAUGCCAUCAACUGGGGGCAAAUUUUUCAGAUUCAAGGGCUCCAGGAUGGAAUCUGUGGAAUAUCCAGAGCUGUUGCUUUAUCUAAGCAGGUAGAUGUGAAAGCAUCCUCCUUCCGGAUGGUAAUCCACUCAGACCCAGACACGCUGCCAGAUGUCCAACUUCAGUAUGUCUAAGGACAACAUAUCAUUUAUCAAUGUCAUUACAAUAUAUUUAUAGAAAGUAUAUUUACAUAACAAAUAAUAGGAAGACUGCUAGGCUUUCUCUUUGACUGGGUUAAAAAUCUGACCGAGGAAUUACUUGCUAAGGAAAUAAUUAGAAAGUUAAAACUGACCGAUGUCAUUCUUUUACAUCUAUCACUUUUGCAGUUUUAUAUUUCAGAAUAGUCCCCAUCCCCUCGUCUCUGGAUGUAUACAUGAGCUCCACAGGCC
rnacentral:lncRNA from 1 species